AUGAACCGAGCCGCCGUCGCCACUGCCUCGACGCCGGCGUGGCCACCGUGGCCUUCUCGCCGCCCCGACCUGUCCAGGGGGAUCGCUGCCCUCUCCUCCGUCACCUGCGCCCCUGGAUUGGAGCUGACGAGCUGCCUCGACACCGCCCGCUUCUUCCUCUCCCUCGGACCACCGCCGGCGAGCUCCGUCGAAUUCGUCGCCCCGGCAGCUCCUAAGCCCCCGUCGGCCGCCGUGUGCCACUCGGUUGGAGCCCAGGAGCCAGACGCCACUGUCGAUGACGACUACUACUACUCGGGAGGUGCCUACUACUACAUGCAGCUCGCUGGCGACGACCGGGAGUAG
rnacentral:rRNA from 1 species